CUUCCCAAAGCAACAUUUUAUCCAGUACUCAAAGAUUCUGAAGGUACUGUGAAAUGAUACAUAUCCUGUUUGCAGGUGAGGAAGAUACCAGCUUUCAGCUCAGCUUUACACUUUAAAGAUGCCUCACUGAAAAGAGGACAAAGGCUCUGCCAUCCACCUGUCAUUAUGACCCAGGGAGGUUCAUAAUUGAGAGGAAGCAGUGACAUUUUCAAUAGACUGUGUUUCCAUCUCAACUACUCCAAACAAGGAAUCACAAGUUCCAAUUCCAGGAGAGUUGGGUCAGACUUUCAUCUCUUGGAGCCAAGAAAGUAAGUGUCAUGAGAACUACUUGGUGCUUUGGGAUGUGACUUUUAAAACAAAAGGACAAAUGUGCACAUUUCAAGAGACUUGUGGGAUAUCCCUGGUGGGAUAGUUGCCUCUUCAACAAAGUAAAAGUUAUAUAGACUGAAUGUAAUAUCAUUCUGCUUAGACUCUUUCUUUUUUUUUUGUUCUGGAAAUUACCUCAUCCUACCUUUUCUCUG